rnacentral:tRNA from 1 species
GGCAUCAGAGCCAAGUGGUAAGGCAAGGGUCUGCAAAAUCCUCAUCCCCAGUUCAAGUCUGGGUGAUGCCUCCA